GAGGGCGGGGCCAGUGCGAGCGGACGCAGCACGUCCUUCCGCCAGGCCGCGGCGCUUCCGGUCUGUCCUAGUCCUCGAAGAGUCCGCGCAGGUGCGCCGGGCGGCGUGCGUUCUGCGGGUCCUUCGGCGCCUUGCAGGUUACCGCCGAGAGGAAUAAGCGUCGUCAGCGCCGAGAUGUUUCCUUCCCAGCCUUGGAAGGGCUUCUUCUGUCACAAAAAGCUUUUUCAGGGGCGCCUGGGAAGUCAGGGUGAAGGGCUGCCUUCCGCUCAGAGCUCUAGCAGCACAGUGAGAGGAGCAAAAAGAGAGGGAGAAGCAGGCUCUCCACUGAGCGGGGAGCCCAUCCCAGGACCCCAGGAGCUCACAAAGACAGAUGCUUCACCGGUUGAGCCACCAGGAGAUGCCCUGCACUUAGGGACAAAAUCCUGUCGAAAGAAAGAAGCACCAAUGAGGUUUCCCUCUGUGACUCUGGAUGUAAAUUUGGAUCCCAUGCUUUCCCAUUGCCUGGACACGCUAUCCCUUGGACCCUGAAGACUCAACCCGAGGCUUCUCUACUGAAGCAGGACAACCACUGAUCCUGUCCUGUUGGACCAACUGUUCUUUACAUGUAGUACCAAUAUGCUGGUAUCACGAUGAAGAUGAGAUUUACUUCCAAAACAUGUAUCAGACAUUUUCAUAACCACAAUGACCAAAUUUGUCGAGAUGUUUCUCAAGUUCUCUGGGCCACGGCACAGCUCCCCUGCAGGUACAGCUGUCCCCUCGUGGGCGGACCGUAAACCCCUGCCCCUGCUCAUCUGUCACCCCACCACCACAUGCCUAUGUGCGACGAUGAUGAAUGAGUAAACUAUUUCUCAACUAAGUCUAUACAAUGGAGAGAAAAACUAUGCAAAUUUCUUUUCUGCAAGGACACUCUUAAUAGAGAAUGAGAUAUACUAGUGUCACUGUUGGAAGGGAAAGGAUUUCCUGAUCAAUCCCGGACUACACAGAAGUAUCCCUGAGUCCUGAGAAUUAAGUAGAGCCUAGAUCCUAACAUUGCCUGGAUACACGGAGAAGUCUCAGGCCAAGAGAAGCCUUCCCGUCCACUGGCAACAGAGGUAUUAUAUCCACAGAAAGAUCACAUCUCUACUCACCUGCAGUUGCAUUCUCAGGAAUUCAGCCACCACCUCGCCUCCUCUGGAUCUCCCCACUCACGGACAGUCCAAGAAGUUAGGAGGAAAAGCUGGGCAAGGAGAGAGAAGCCAAGAGACUCCAGUCUUACCAGAGACCCUGACCACAAAAUCCCGAUGCACCUGCAUGCAACCCCCCAACCCCCUUUCAGGAACACGCCAUGGCCCUCAGACAAGUGGGAAAACUCUCACAUCUGCAUGGAUCUCAAGUGAGAAGGCUUUGACUACCAAUGCUAGUAAAUAAAAUACGAACAUUCCUUUCUAUUUUCACACAAGGAAAUGAAAAUCAUUGAAUUUAUAAGUUACCCAGAAACUUUUUUGUAGGGUUAUUUAAUUCCUUCCCUGAACUGCAAACCUAAAAGUCCCUGCUUAGAAAAUGUAGAAUGCAGGGGACUCACAGGGAAAUAUAUUUGUUCAAUCUAACAUUUAGUAAAGUUAUAACUAGAAUACCAUCCUACACUAAUCAUCAGCACAAACAACACCCCAGCAUUUCAUAAAUCUGUAUUUUAAAGUUCUGGUAAACUUUAUGGGGGUGCCUUGGUGGCUCAGUCCGUAAAGUUUCUGAUUUUGGCUCAGGUCAUGAUCUCCUGAGUCCAGCCCUGCGUGGGGUUCAGCAGAGUCUGUUUCUCUCUUUUCCUCUUCCUCACCCACCUCCAUCUGCACUCUCUUCCAAAAAAAUAUAAUCUUUAAAAUAAAUAAAUAAGGAUGCCUGUGUGGCUCAGCAGUUAAGCGUCUGCCUUUGGCUCAGGGCAUGAUCCUGGGGUCCUGGGAUAAAAUAGUCCCUUUAUUAAUUUCACUGCAAGUCACCCACUUGGAAGGCCAUCUGUUUGCUAAUGAAGCCCUGGCCCAUCGGCACCCUCAGGAGGCAGACACGCUUGGGUUCUUCACAGACGGUCACUGUCAUUUACUACAGGGGGACCCUGGACAAGUGAUUUAGUCUCUUUAAAACAGUUUCUUGGGGGGCACCUGGUGGUUCAGUGGUUGAGCAUCUGCCUUUGGCUCAGGUUGUGAUCCAGCGGGGGUCCUAAGACCGAGUCCUGCAUGGGGCUCCCCACGGGGAGCCUGCUUCUCC